AAUGAACGUUGGCGGCGUGGAUUAGGCAUGCAAGUCGAGCGCUCAUAGCAAUAUGGGAGCGGCGAACGGCGUAGUAAUAUGUAGGAACGUACCCUCGGGUCGGGGAUAGCCAUGGGAAACUGUGGGUAAUACCCGAUAAUCUCUGCGGAGCAAAGGUGUGAUUCCGCCUGAGGAGCGGCCUACACGAUAUUAGCUAGUUGGUAGGGUAAUGGCCUACCAAGGCUACGAUGUCUAGGGGGUGUGAGAGCAUGGCCCCCACGACCGGAACUGAGAUACUGUCCGGACACCUACGGGUGGCUGCAGUCGAGAAUCUUCCGCAAUGGACGAAAGUCUGACGGAGCGACGCCGCGUGCGGGAUGAAGGCCCUUGGGUUGUAAACCGCUGUCAGAGGGGAUGAAAUCUUCGGAGGUGCUCCUCCAAAGUUGACAGAGCCUCAAAGGAAGCACGGGCUAAGUACGUGCCAGCAGCCGCGGU
rnacentral:rRNA from 1 species